AAUUACAUCUUACGGAGAACAUGAAUAUAAAGCUAAACACAUAAGAAUAACAUAUACAAUGUGUAUGGUCGUUCUAUGAUUUCUUGGUGACACGCUGUGUCAGCGUAUUUAUGUUUAUAUGGAAUCGGUUACAUCGAUGUUGCGACUGCACAGAUUGUUCUAAGUCUUAGCGCCGGCGCAGUUGAAUUGGUUGUUAGCUUGUAUGUAAAAUAUUGAUAUUUUUAAGUUAAAACAGCAGUUAAAAGCUGUAAAAUCAGCUGUUAAGAGAUGGUGGAUGUUGCCAGUGGGAGUCGUUGUUUCACAUCCACCGUUAAUUGCGAUUAUUCCCCAGAUAUGUAUCAGUGGGAAUUGUGCCUAAUCUUCAAUUCUGUUGUUAUUGAUGCAAGUUAGAGACAAUAAAUAGAAGUAAUCUGAAAUACAAAAUUCAAUGCAAUGGACAAGGAAAUACACCAUGUAAUAAGAUAUACAUGGUAUAUGUAGAUAUUAGACAAUUUCACCAUGGAGAUGCUACACAUCGUUAAAGAAUCCAAACGCCACGCGACCUAACUUUAUGGUGCUCACAUAUACAGACAUUUAAUUCACAAAAAUAAGUUUUAAGCUCCACAUCGAACGGCGCUGUCAUGUUAAAUAUUAUAUGUUUGAAAUUAAAAACUUUGUAGUUGCCCUGCCGACGGUUGCUUAUGCUCAACCGAAAUAUAUCGGAUUAAAAAAAUAAAAUUGGAAACUGCGGUUGUA